rnacentral:rRNA from 1 species
UACGGGGGGGGCAAGCGUUGUUCGGAAUUACUGGGCGUAAAGGGCUCGUAGGCGGUUGUUUAAGUCUGUCGUGAAAUCCCCGGGCUCAACCUGGGAAUGGCGAUGGAUACUGGGCAGCUAGAGUGUGUCAGAGGAUGGUGGAAUUCCCGGUGUAGCGGUGAAAUGCGUAGAGAUCGGGAGGAACAUCAGUGGCGAAGGCGGCCAUCUGGGACAACACUGACGCUGAAGCACGAAAGCGUGGGGAGCAAACAGG